rnacentral:lncRNA from 10 species
AAAACUUGCCCACCUGUACCAGAGGUAGCCUAAGAAAAUCUUCUCAGGGAAGGAAAUGGAAACAUCCAAAUGCACAGAAGGCACUCGGCUCCAGACUGAAAGCUGGCCUGCUCAUGGGUUCCUUUUUUUUUUUUUUUUUUUUUUUUUUUGAGACAGUCCCACUUUGUCGCCCAGGCUGUAGUGCAGUGGCAUUCUCGGCUCACUGCAACCUCCACCUCCCAGGUUCAAGCGAGUCUCCUGCCUCAGCCUCCCGAGUAGCUGGGAUUACAGGCACGUGCUAUCAUGCCCGGCUAAUUUUUGUAUUUUGAGUAGAGACGGGGUUUCGCCAUGUUGGCCAGGCUGGUCUCAAACUCCCGACCUCAUGCGAUGCGCCCAUCUCAGCCUCACAGUGCUGGGAUUACAGGCGUGAGCCACUGCGCCUGGCCACGGUCACGGAUUUUUUAAAACUCUAAGGUCAUUAGCUUGACAUCUAUAAAAUCUCCUCCAUGACAUGAAGCCUUAAACCUAGGGACAGAAACACACUGAGACACAGAAACACCUUCUGUGCUUCAAUACACAGAGCAUUCUCUGGAAAUCCCUACGACACAGGCUUAAAGGCCAGUGCUGUGCCUGAAAGACAUUUUGAACAGGCAAGGAGUGUAAGCUAAUACACUACUGUUACAACAUGGACAAAUACUUGUAAGAUGUUAAAUGAACAAAGGACCAGAAUACAAAACUGAAUACGCAGCAUGAGGACAACCAAAGUUAAACCCACACACUCACACACCCCGUCUACAGAGAGACUAGAAAGGAACACGCCAAUGCCAAGAGUGGUUAUGUUACAGAAGGUUGGGACUCGGGGUGAUUUUGUUGUUUUGACUUUCAUUUUUCCAAAUCUUUAAUGAGCAUGUGCCACUCUUUCAUAAUGAAACAAGCAAACAAUAAGUACUUACUACUUACUGAAUGAAUAGUUGCCACUUAAACAAUUAUCCUAAAAUUAUACCAAGGAAACUAGGUUUGGGCCCAGCAAAUGACUCAAAUGUAAUAUUCACUCGAGGUAAGGACAGUGGGGUGGUGUGGGCUGGCACAGCAGAAAAUUUCUAGACCAGGGGAAUCCACGGUCCUGAAUUGAGUCUUGGCUCUGUGUGACCCUGGGUAUUGUUUUUUGCAGCCUGACACAUGAAUGCUUGGACUAGAAUAAUGAUUCUUAAUCCUUAGUGGGUUAUUGACCCCUUUGUCUGUGUCUGAGGGUUCUGGGAACCCUCUCUCCAGGAAAAAAAAUACACACACACACACACACACACACACAUGCUCACAGAGCUUUUAGAAGUAACUCUAGGAGGUACAUGGACUCUCUGGAGGUCCACGGACCAGGUUAAGAACACUGGUCAGAGGCUGGGAGUAGUGGCUCACGGCUGUAAUCCCAGCACUUUGGGAGGCCAAGGUGGGCGGAUCACCCGAGAUCAUGAGUUCGAGAUUAGCCUGGCCAACAUGGUGAAAUCCCAUCUCUACCAAAAACACAAAAUUAGCCAGGCGUGGUGGCGCGUGCCUG